rnacentral:snRNA from 1 species
AUACUUACCUGGCGCAGGGGACACCGUGAUCCAUAAGGCGGUUCCCUCAUCCUGAGACUUGCUCAUUGCACUGACGGGCUGAGUUGACGGGUGCGAUCGGCGAUGGGUCCAUAGCGUAGUAUUUAUAUUGUAGCCUCAUUGGUCGAAUUGCAGA